rnacentral:lncRNA from 1 species
UCUUACAAGGACCGAGGAAGUGGAGGAGGUAGGGGUUCGGGUACUACAAGUUGUAGGGGGUCUACGGUGAGGCCAAGUUUAGACACGAACAAUCUUUUAAAGUUGUUCUACGGUUUGGAUUCGUUGAAACUCGAGCUUAAUCGAUUGGAAAUUGAAGUCACAGGUGAUUAAUGCAAAAUGAUUUAUUAUGAUCGAGAACCGAGUGAAUCACAAUCUUAGAUAGAUCUUAAAUUAAAUGUCUACAUAAGAAAAAAAUGAUUGAAAACUAUAACUUUAAUGUCAUUGUGGGUUAACUGCUCAUUUAAUUAGUUGAUGGUUGCAUAGGUGUUCACGUGUUGAAUACAUUAUUUGAUUUAUAUACUUCAUAUUAUAGAUGGAAGGGAUUAUAUAGAAUUUAGAUUGUUAAUUUAUAUAGCCACCAACUAUCUUACCUCCACCAACAGAUUCUCAUGUAUUUUCCAUUGAGUAAUUUAUAUUAAU